GCAGGCUCGCGCUUGAAUACAUUAGCAUGGAAUAAUGAAAUAGGACGUUCGAUCCUAUUUUGUUGGUUUCUAGGAUUGACGUAAUGAUUAAUAGGGAUAGUUGGGGGCAUUAGUAUUCAAUUGUCAGAGGUGAAAUUCUUGGAUUUAUUGAAGACUAACUACUGCGAAAGCAUUUGCCAAGGAUGUUUUCAUUAAUCAAGAACGAAAGUUAGGGGAUCGAAGACGAUCAGAUACCGUCGUAGUCUUAACCAUAAACUAUGCCGACUAGGGAUCGGAUGAUGUUAUUUUUAAUGACUCAUUCGGCGCCUUACGGGAAACCAAAGUGUUUGGGUUCCGGGGGGAGUAUGGUCGCAAGGCUGAAACUUAAAGGAAUUGACGGAAGGGCACCACCAGGGGUGGAGCCUGCG
rnacentral:rRNA from 1 species